UAGGGAAUCUUCGGCAAUGGGGGGAACCCUGACCGAGCAACGCCGCGUGAGUGAAGAAGGUUUUCGGAUCGUAAAGCUCUGUUGUUAAGGAAGAACGAGUGUGAGAAUGGAAAGUUCAUACUGUGACGGUACUUAACCAGAAAGGGACGGCUAACUACGUGACAGCAGCCGCGGUAAUACGUAGGUCCCGAGCGUUGUCCGGAUUUAUUGGGCGUAAAGCGAGCGCAGGCGGUUAGAUAAGUCUGAAGUUAAAGGCAGUGGCUCAACCAUUGUAGGCUUUGUAAACUUUUUAACUUUAGUGCAGAAGGGGUGAGUGGAAUUUCGUGUGUAGCGGUCAAAUGCGUAGAUAUAAUGAGGAACUCCUGUGGCGAAAGCGGCUCUCUGGUCUGUAACUGACGCUGAGGCUCGAAAGCGUGGGGAGCGAACAGG
rnacentral:rRNA from 1 species